rnacentral:lncRNA from 1 species
CGAGAAUGCUCGGGCCGCCCAGCGCUCCCAGCUCGCCACCACCAUCGCCGCCUUCGCCAGGAUGACCGUCGAAGAUUCUAGAAAGAUCUUGCCGCCUCAGUUCUACCCUUCCUGGGUCGUUUUCUCUUCCAGCCAGAAGUUGAGCUUUCUUCUCUCAACACGUACUUUCUAUAACUCGUCGUCUCAAAUUCGGUCUUGGACUCACGCUGUUGUGUUAUUGUUUUCAGUUGACUUGGCUUAACUCGCAUCUCACCAAGAUCUGGCCCUUUGUUAAUGAGGUAGCUCGUGGAUCAUGCUUCAGAUGUGGCUUUCGUGGUGGUUGUUCAUUUUUUUUUGUUUUUUUGUUCAUGCGUCGGUUUUGCUAGGCUGCUUCUGAGCUCAUAAAGACGUCGGUGGAACCCAUUCUUGAACAAUAUAGACCCGUGAUUUUGGCUUCUCUCAAGUUUUCCAAGUUUACACUUGGUACUGUGGCGCCACAGUUCACAGGUCCGUUCGAUCCAAUUGCUUUGGAUUUUUGGCAAUCCGCAUUUCCUAUGGUGCAAUUGAUACUGUUGUCAUCUGACUGGUUCC